rnacentral:rRNA from 1 species
GACGAACGCUGGCAGCGUGCUUAACACAUGCAAGUCGAACGAUGACGACCGAGCUUGCUCGGUCUGAUUAGUGGCGAACGGGUGAGUAACACGUGAGCAACCUGCCCUUCACUCUGGGAUAACCUCGGGAAAUCGGGGCUAAUACCGGAUAUGAGCUCCUGUCGCAUGGCGGGUGUUGGAAAGUUUUUCGGUGAAGGAUGGGCUCGCGGCCUAUCAGUUUGUUGGUGAGGUAGUGGCUCACCAAGGCGAUGACGGGUAGCCGGCCUGAGAGGGCGACCGGCCACACUGGGACUGAGACACGGCCCAGACUCCUACGGGAGGCAGCAGUGGGGAAUAUUGCACAAUGGGCGAAAGCCUGAUGCAGCGACGCCGCGUGAGGGAUGACGGCCUUCGGGUUGUAAACCUCUUUCAGCAGGGAAGAAGCGAAAGUGACGGUACCUGCAGAAGAAGCGCCGGCUAACUACGUG